AUCAAGCUGACGGGUCCCAAAUAGGACGAAACGCAUGUCCUGGAU
rnacentral:hammerhead_ribozyme from 1 species